UGAGUCCUACGGGGGGCAGCAGUGAGGAAUAUUGGUCAAUGGGCGGAAGCCUGAACCAGCCAAGUCGCGUGAGGGAAUAAGGCCCUACGGGUCGUAAACCUCUUUUGCCGGGGAGCAAGGGCGGGGACGUGUCCCGGCCCGGAGAGUACCCGGAGAAAAAGCAUCGGCUAACUCCGUGCCAGCAGCCGCGGUAAUACGGAGGAUGCGAGCGUUAUCCGGAUUUAUUGGGUUUAAAGGGUGCGUAGGCGGAGUGUCAAGUCAGCGGUAAAAUUUCGGGGCUCAACCCCGUCGUGCCGUUGAAACUG
rnacentral:rRNA from 1 species